CCAGACUGGUCUCGAACUCCUGACCUUAUCAUCUGCCUGCCUCGGCCUCCCAAAGUGCUGGGAUUACAGGCGUGAGCCACUGCACCCAGCCCCCCACAUGCUCUUAUAGGUCCGUUGGUAUUUGCUAGAAGUUUGUAUAAAUAUAACCAUACAGUAUGGAUUCUCUUACUUUUUUUUCCCCACAUAACAGUUAUUUUGAAAUUCAUCCAUACUGUUGCCUGAAUUUCAUGGUAGGAAUGUACUAGUUUACCCGUCACCUGGUGAAGGCCAUUUGGGUUAUUUCCAAAUUGUGGCACUUUUGAGGAGAGUGGCUGUGAACAUUUGUAUACAAGUCUUCGUAUGUCCAUGUUUUAAUUUCUCUUGAGUUGAUGGUACAUCUACUCAGUGUAUGUUUAACUUAGAAAAACCCACCCAGCCAGGCGCGGUGGCUCACGCCUGUAAUCCCAGCACUUUGGGAGGCCGAGGCGGAUGGAUCACGGGUCAGGAGAUCGAGACCAUCCUGGCCAACAUGGGGGAAUGAAACCCCGUCUCUACUAAAAAUACAAAAAAUUAGCUGGGUGUGGUGGCAGGCCUUCACCCAGCUUCUUGGGAGGCUGAGGCAGAAGAAUUGCUUGAACCCGGGAGGCAGAGGUUGCAGUGAGCCUGGGCAACAGAGUGAGACUCCAUCUCAAAAAACAAAAAAAAAAAAACAAAAAAACCCCACCUACCUGACUUCCAAAGUGGUUGUUAUAUUUUACAUUGCCAACAGCAGUGUAUGAGAAUUCCAGUUCUCUAAUAGCCUCAUUAAUGCUUCAUACAAUCAGUCUUUAAGCCAUUCUAUAAAUGUACGGUGGUAUCUCAUUGUGGGUUUAAUUUGUGUUUCCCUAACGGCCAACGACUUGAACAUCUUUUCAUGUGCUAUUUGCCAUUCAUCUAUGUUCUUUGGUGAAGUGUCUGUCCAAAUCUUGUAGCUUUUUAAAAAUUAGGUAGUUUACUUUCAUUUUAAUUUAAUUUAAUUUAAUUACUUUAUUUAUUUAUUAUUGAGACAGAGUCUUGCUCUGUCACCCAGGCUGGAGUGCAGUAGAAUGAUCUCAGCUCACUGCAACCCCUGCCCCCUGGAGUUAAGCAAUCCUCCCACCUCAGCCUCCUGAGUACUUGGGACCACAGGCAUGCGCCGCCACACCUGGCUAAUUUUUUGUAUUUUUUGUAGAGACUGGGUUUCACCAUGUUGCCCAGGGUGGCCCUGAGCUCAAAUGAUCCACCUGCCUCGGCCUCCCACAAUGCUGGGAUUACAAGUGUGAGCCACCAUGCUUGGCCCUCAUUCUCUAAUAUCCCUUUUGAAGGGCAAAAAUUGUUAACUUUUUUGAAGUACAACUUAUAAUUUUUUUUCAUUUAUGGAUUGUAGCUUUGGUUUUCUAAGAAAUCUUUGCCUUAAGAUCAAUAUAUUUUCUUUUAGAAGUUUUAUAGUUUUAGGUUUUACAUUUAGAGUUAAUUUUUGUGUAUGAUGUGAGGCAGGGAUUUAAAUUAUUAAAAUAAUUUUUUUUUUUUUGUAGUUAGAGUUUGGCCAUAUUGCCCUGGCUGGUCUCAAACUCCUGAGCUCAGACAAUCUGCCUACCUUGGCCUCCCAAAGUAUUGAGAUUACAAGCAUGAGCCACUGUGCCAAGCCUUAAAUAAUUUUUUGCACGUGGAUAUCUAAGUAUUCCAGCACCAUCUGUUGAAAAGAUGAUCCUUUCCCUUAGCUGCCUUUGCAUAUCUCUUGAAAAUCAAUUGAUGUCCAUAUAUAUAUAUGGGUCUAUUGCUGCACUUUUAUUCUGUUCUAUUGAUCUGUUUGUGUGUUUUUAAACCACUAUCACAUUGCUUUGAUUACUGAAGCUUUGUAGUAAGUCUUGUCCUUUGCAUUUCCAUAUGAAUUUUAAAAUCGGCUUGUCAAUUUCUACAAAAAAAAGACUGCUGAAAAUUUAAGUGGGAUUGUGUGGGAUCUAGAAAUAUUGAGUCUUUUUUUUUUUUUUUUUUUUUUGGGACAGAGUCUUGCUCUGUCACCCAGGCUGGAGUGCAAUGGCACAAUCUGGGCUCACUGCAACCUCCGCCUCUUGGGUUCAAGCCAUUCUUCUGCCUCAGCCUCCUGAGUAGCUGGGAUUAUAGGCACAUGCCACCAUGCCCGGCUGAUUUUUAUAUUUUUAAUAGAGAUGGGGUUUCACUAUAUUGGCCAGGCUGGUCUUGAACUCCUGACCUUGGGUGAUCCACCCACGUCACCCUCCCAAAGUGCUAGGAUUACAGGCAUGAGCCACUGUGCCUGGCCAUUGAGUCUUCUAAUUGAUGAAUAAAUAUAUUUCUUGUCUGGGCAUGGUGGCUCAUACCUGUAAUCCCAGCACUUUGGGAGGCUGAGGCAGGAGGAUCACUGGAGGCCAGGAGUUCGAGACCAGCCUAGGCAACACUGUCUCUACAAAAAUAAAGGAAAAAAUAAAAAUAAAAAACUGAAUAAAAAAUAUAUAUAUUUCUCCAUUUAUUUAGGCCUUUGAUUUCUUGCAGCAAUGUUCUAUUAGUUUUCAGUGUAUAUCCUUUGUUCAUCCUUUGUCAGAUUUAUGCCUAAGUGUUUCACAUGUUUUAAUUCUAUUAUGUUAUUUUUAAAAUUUCAAAUUCCAAUUGUUCAUUGUUUGAAUGUAGAAAUAGUUGUUUUUGUAUACUGAUAUUGAAUCCUCCACUCUUGCUAAUUAGCCUUUUUGUAGAUUCAUCAGAUUUUCCACACAGCUGAUUAUGUUAUCUGUGAGUAGAGAUAGUUUUACUUUUUCCCUUGUUUUAUGACUUCCUUACUUUUAUUUAUUGAUUUAUUUUUUAGGCCUUAUUGCUCCAUUGGAGCAUCCAGGGCACUGUUGAAUAGAAGUGGUGAGAGUGGGCAUCCUUGCCUUGUUCCUGACCUCAGUGGGAAAGCAUUCACUCUCUUACUGUGAAGUAUGAUGACAGUUGUAUGUUUUUCAUAGAUGCCCUUUUCAGGUUGAGGAAGCACCCUUCUAUUCUUAGUUUACUGAGAGUUUGUUAGGAAUGGAUACUGGAUUUUGUCAAAUGCUUUUUCUAUGUCUAUUGAGAUAAUGUUUUUCUUGAGUCUAUGAAUAGAAUUAACUACGUUGAUUGAUUUGCAAAUGUUAAACCAACUUUGCAUUUAUGGGAUAAACCUCACUUGGUCAUGAUGUCUUAUCUUUUUUACAUAUUGGUGUAUUUAAUUAGUUGAGAGCUUUUACAUCUAUGUUCAUGAGGAAUAUUGGUCUUCUUUUAAUGUCUUUAUCUGGUUUUGGUAACAGAGUAAUACUUGCCUCAUAGAAUGAGGGAAUGGGAAGUGGUCCCUACUUUUCAAUUCUCUGGAAGAGUUUGUGUAGAUUUACUAUUAGGUAUUUCUUCAAUAUUUUAUGGAAUUCAAGAAUUAAUUCUUACUAGCUUGGAAAAAAAUUGUGUAUGGACUGAAAGGAUUAGAAAGUAUAUCCUGUCUAGCUCAGCUCCUAAGCUAUCUCAGCCUGUCUUUGUCUUUGGGAUGCUUUACAACUCUGUGACUUUUAGAAAAUUGAUUCUUGUCCGUAGAAGUGCAAACUAAUUGUGUCUGGUGGAACACAAUUUAUUUUUGCCCUGUGGAUUGAUCUAUCUUGCAUAUAUCGUAAAAUCAUUUUACAUUAUUGCUUGUUGUUUGAAUUUCUUUUGAAUUAGUUGUAACAUUUU
rnacentral:lncRNA from 1 species